UCUCGUGACUGGCUUCGAUCUUCUUCCUGCUCCGGCACCGUUCAGCAUAGGUUACCAUGGUGAUUCACCCCGGCAACAAGAGGACCAGCUUCAUAGGACCGGACACCCGCAGCUAAACCCCGAGGUACCUCGAUAACCGUCCACAUCCCGCCUCGCGGUACCGAACCUCCGAUGUGAUGGACAGUUCACCGGCAGGAGACCGGCGCAGUGUGAAGAGGAGAGUGAAGGGCUGCACCGUGGACGUCCACCCGAUGGAGAGAGCCCUCGUGGUCCAGUACGAGGUGGAGGCAACGAUCCUGAGCGAGCAGGGGGAUCCCAUGAUCGGAGAACGCAAAGAGUGUCGGAAAAUCAUUCGCCUGAAAAGCCUGGACGCCGACACGGACACGGCGUCUUUGGCGCAGAAGGUGGUCGAGGAGUGUCGGCUGCUUCACCCGUCCAAACUCCUCGAGGUGGAGCAGCUGCUCUUCUACCUGCAAAACCGCAAACAGUCAAAUGAAAACCAGGAGAAGAAACGCGUCUCGCCUCAAGACUUUGCACCGUACGCAGGAGUUGAGCUGGGGGACGAGGAGGCGAACAUCAACAGCAUCGACGAGUACGUGGAGCUGCUGUACGAGGACGUCCAGGAGAAGAUCAGAGGAGCCACGCUCCUCUUCCGGCUGGCCCGUAACCCGGACAACCUGGAGGAGCUCAUCCAGAACGAAACGGCCCUCGGCGCCCUGGCCCGGGUCCUGAGGGAGGACUGGAAGCGGAGUGUGGACCUGGCAAUGACCAUCAUCCACGUCUUCUUCUGCUUCUCCAGCUUCUCGCUGUUCCGCGACCUGGUCACACAUUUCAAGAUCGGGGCGCUGUGCAUGAACAUCAUGGAGCACGAGCUGAAGAGGUACGACCUCUGGCAGGAGGAGCUGCAGAAGAAGAAGAAGGCUUGUGAAGAAUCCCCCGACAGCCAGAAUCUGAGGAAGGAGCACGAGAAGUCGUGGAGGAAGUACCAGAGCCUCCGGACCAAACAGGAGCAGCUUCUCAGAGUGUCUCUGUGUCUGCUGCUCAACCUGGCUGAAGACUCCCGCACCGAGCAGAAGAUGAGGAACAAGCACAUCGUCCACAUGCUGGUGAAGAUGCUGGAGCGGGAGGACGAGGAGCUGCUGCUGGUGGUGGUCUCCUUCCUCAAGAAACUCUCCAUCUACCUGGAGAACAAGGACGACAUGGCGGAGACGUUCGCCGUGGAGAAGCUCGCCCGGCUGAUUCCCUGCGAGCACGAGGAGCUGCUGAGCGCUGCGUCGCGCCUCCUGCUCAACCUCUCCUUCGACGCGGUGCUGCGCGGACACAUGGUGCGGGCCGGACUGGUCCCCAAGCUCUCCUCGCUGCUCGCUGACGAGGGCCAGAGACGCCUCAGCGUGCGCAUUCUGUACCACAUCAGCAUGGACGACGCGUUCAAGUCCAGGUUCGCUGACACCGACUGCAUACCGCAGCUCAUGGAGCUGGUGUUUGACUGUAGGGACGAGAAGAUGGACGUCGAGCUCAUCUCACUCUGCAUCAACCUGGCGGCCAACCAGAGCAACGCCCAGGUGAUCUGUGAAGGUAACUGCCUGGAGAUCCUGCUGAAGCGUGCGUUGAAGCUGAAGGAUGUUCUGCUGAUGAAGAUGAUCAGGAACCUUUCUCAGCACAGCGGCGCCACUAAGAGCCUCUUCCUGGACCAUGUUGACGAGCUGGCGGCUCAGAUCAGUGAGGACGAGGAUGAGGAGUUUGUGAUGGAGUGUCUGGGCACGCUGGCCAAUCUGACCUUCCCCGACCUGGGCUGGGCCCAGGUGCUCCAGAAGUACGACCUGGUGCCCUACCUGAAGGACAGACUCAGACCAGGUUCUGCCGAGGACGACCUGAUCCUGGAGGUGGUGAUCCUGAUCGGCACCGUGUCCAUCAGCGACUCGUGUGCGGCCAUGUUGGCCCAGUCUGGCAUCAUCCCUGCUCUGAUCGAGCUGCUCAAUGCUCAACAGCAGGACGACGAGUUCGUAUGUCAGAUCGUCUACGUCUUUUACCAGAUGGUUUUUCACAAAGCUACGAGAGACGUCAUCGUCACAGACACGCAGGCUCCCGCCUACAUCAUCGACCUGAUGCACGACAAGAACGCCAAGAUCCGCAAAGUUUGUGACGACACGCUGGACAUCAUCGCCGAAUAUGACGAGGAGUGGGGCCGGAAGAUCCAGACGGAGAAGUUCCGCUGGUACAAUGGCCAGUGGCUGGAGAUGGUGGUGAACCGUCACCUGGAGGAGGCGGGAGGAGGAGCCUUCCUGUUCAGGGAGGACGGAGAAUCCCCCCUCGGAGACGGAGACGUCCUGGAGAGACCCGUCCUGUUCUACAGCGCAGACGGGAUCAUCGGAGCAGACAGCAUCAGUCCAGAGUUCUACGCCGACUUCCAUAGCGGAGAGCUGGUGCAGACGGGAUUCCUGAGCAGAUUUGUGAAACACUCGUGAAUAUCGACCUGGGCAUCGGCCUGAAACCUGCCGUCUGCCCCCAGCUCCGAUUAAAUGCGACCAAAACUAAAUGAUGGGAGAGACAGAUUUCCCAGAAGUGUCGGCGCCGCCGUAGUGGAAAGACUGAGGUGACGGACAGAGCGACCCAAGGACCGUGGACCAGCAGCAGAAUCAAUGAGCGCUUUGAGAGCGAGGCCGUCAGGAUGUGGCGGCGCCAGAGAGCGAAGCGAGCCACGAAAUAAAGCGAGAACAGAACGCCGUCCCAAUCAGGUGAGACGUGGAGAUCUGCCGGGAGGGAGGGGGUGAGACCUGAGUGUAACCUGAGCGGGGACAGCAGGGGAAGAUCAAAGCGGGGCCCGGACGGGGCCCCGGACGGGGGCCCUGGAAGACAAGGGCGCAGGAGGGCGCAGGGUCACGUCCAAGGAGGAAAAAGGCCCUGAUUCCCUUUCCUGCUCCCUGCCGAGGAAUGUUCUCUGCGGGAUGGGACGCGUCCCCGCCGCUCCUCCGGGAUCGAACUGGGAACACUGGGCCCCUUUGUCUGAUUGACCCCCACCACCACCACAGAGCCUGUCAGCCUGUCACAACGACACACACGAGGUGAAGGAGGCGGCAGACAGGUUGAUUUUCAUGUUUCAUAAUGAGACAUAUCACAGCUGACGGCAGCUGCAUCGACCGCUCCUCUGUACGACCUAAACUUUAUUUAAAAUUGUCCUGUAAAAGUUCGCCAGGACACGACUCGUAUCACGGAACCUGUGAAGACGAGUCGGACUGCACAGACUCCACAUGACGUCACCGGCACAAGAUGGCGGCUCCGGAAUCAGAGAUAUUUCGGCUUCAUGUUUGAGACGCGUCGUCCAUCUUUAUUGAUGAGUGAUGUCAUCAUAUGAAACCUGCCUGUGAUUUCAUCAUCAUCACAUUGGGACUUUUUCACUUGACAUUUUAAAGAUUUAAUAGUUGAUAAACACCAUUAAUCAAUUGAUCUUUGGCUCCAGCCCUGCCCUUGGUCAGGACAUUGACUGUACUUGUGGACUCAGAUCCAGGGUGUCCAGGCCGGAGGGGUGUAACCGGGCUGGACACAAAUACAGGCCGGCGGACGGCUGGUGUGACCCAGAGUUACAGUGUUUCCUCCAGCCUCCUUUAGCCUGGUGCUCAAAUCCCCCCUGACAGCCGUAGCGUGCGGAGGGAAAAAGACAUAUUUCUGGCCACAGAGGAGGGAGGGGCAGAUAGUGAUGGGGGGGACAAAACAGAGAGGAAGAGUGGGGGUAGUGGAGCGAGUAGGGAAAUGCGGCAAGCUGUGUAACUGAUCUCUGGAAGUGAUUUGGCUAAAAACAACACGUCAUUAUAGACGCUUGCAGGGGCAAAGCAAACAGCUCGUAUUUUAGAAGGACGAUUGGAGGACGACGGACCCGGAGAGGACGACGGACCCGGAGAGGACGACGGGCCUGGAGAGGACGACGGGCCUGGAGAGGACGACGGACGACGGGCCUGGAGAGGACGACGGGCCUGGAGAGGACGACGGAUGACGGGCCUGGAGAGGACGACGGACGACGGGCCUGGAGAGGACGACGGGCCUGGAGAGGACGACGGAUGACGGGCCUGGAGAGGACGACGGACGACGGGCCUGGAGAGGACGACGGACCUGGAGAGGACGACGGACCUGGAGAGGACGACGGACGACGGGCCUGGAGAGGACGACGGGCCUGGAGAGGACGACGGAUGACGGGCCUGGAGAGGACGACGGACGACGGGCCUGGAGAGGACGACGAGCCUGGAGAGGACGACGGGCCUGGAGAGGACGAUGGACGACGGGCCUGGAGAGGACGACGGACCUGGAGAGGACGAUGGACGACGGGCCUGGAGAGGACGACGGGCCUGGAGAGGAUGAUGGACGACGGGCCUGGAGAGGACCACGGGCCUGGAGAGGACCACGGGCCUGGAGAGGACGACAGGGUGAUGGGGUGGGAGAGGGUGACUGGGCCGGGCGGCUGGACGCUCCCUCUCCCAGAAGAGACAUGACAGUGAUCCAGUGAAGCGGCGCUGUGUCAUCCAUCAGAUGCCAGUUUAUCCAUCAACCAGGGGCCUGUUUCCGUGACCCCCCACCCCCCCAGAACCAGCAGCUGGUCAGAUGAUGGAAGCGUGAAAUCCACCCCCGAACCCGCUGCAUCCAACAUCCCCAUAGAAACUUAUUUACACGUUGCAGCAACCCCCCCGCCUCUUACAGGCCCCCUGUUGCCGGGCAGAGGGCCGCUCCAGGUCCUCCAGGUUUUGGCCGUCGGCCCACGCUCUCGUCACGCCGCCCGUGUUUUGACAUCUCCCCCGAUUUUUUAAUGGCUUGGCCGCGCCGCUGUUUACCCCUCAGGCCAUGAGCUGUAACUCAGCCUCGCUGUGGACGUCCAGCACCUGCAGCACGGCAGACGAAUAUCACAUUAACUGGUUAUGAGCUCGUCCCGUGUCAUGACGGACAGGUUUGGUUUGGCUCAGGGGGUCGAGAGGGUGUUUUCCCCGAGACAUGUCUUGUGUCAGAGCUCCACCUAGUGGUCGUGUACUGUCGGUCGCGGACUGGGGGAACCUGAAUGUCCCAUGGAUGAAUUUGCAGGUGAAAACAUGGACGGGCUGUCGUCAGCGGCUCGGCCCAGUUCGUCCCGACCGACCGACCCGUCAGCGCCUACGGCUUCCGUCCUGACGAACAGUCCUUCUGCAGCUUCGCCGCCGCCUCCCGGAAGUGACGCGGAGACACGUUCUGACGCCGGGCCCAUCGGGUUCACCGGAAGGUUCUGUUCUACAUCUUACUGGGGUUAAAUCACCAUGGUAACUUGUCACCGGCCCAACUACUGACCAAUCAGAUCACUGGAAAACCAGAGUCAUCAUUCUACUGGAAGGAGUUUAGAGUAAUGUGAGGAAUAAUAAAUUAAUGAAUGAGUGGAAUCAUG